GGGUGGCUAGAAUAUAUAAGACCUCAAGCACGAGUGUUCAUAGAAACUAAAAAAAAACCAACAAUUGUGAAGCAAAAGGAAGGGCCCCCGACACUUGUACAAAAAGAUUUGACUCCAACUGAAGAACUCACUCUCAAUUGGAUUAUGCAAAAUCCAUUGCAGUUUCCAUUUGAGGAUGACAUGGAAUGUGCUCAACAAACUGUAUCUUCAUUGGAUUGCGGCAUGUUCGUCAUGUUCUAUAUGGAUAAAAUAGCACAAGGACAGCCCAUUCCAAAAAGCGUGGACAAGAAAUUCAUGAAUGAAUAUCGAGCACAAUAUGUCACAAAACUCCUACACCACAAAAACUGUGUAAUUAAUCGUCUCUAGUGAUUUGCCUUUCGUUAACUCAAGACAAUAUGUAUCUUAAUUCUUGUGGAUGUUUGUAAAUAUUUCUAGUUAUGGUAUAUGAGAACAUAUUUCCUAUACA